rnacentral:rRNA from 1 species
UACGUAGGUGACCAGCGUUGUCCGGAUUUACUGGGCGUAAAGAGCGCGCAGGCGGUCGUUCAAGUCGAGUGUGAAAGCCCCCGGCUCAACUGGGGAGGGUCACUUGAUACUGAUCGACUCGAAGGCAGGAGAGGGAAGCGGAAUUCCCGGUGUAGUGGUGAAAUGCGUAGAUAUCGGGAGGAACACCAGUGGCGAAGGCGGCUUCCUGGCCUGUUCUUGACGCUGAGGCGCGAAAGCGUGGGGAGCAAACAGG